GCCCUGUGCUUGGUGUUGGACGGCUGGUCGCGCGAGUGACCCCUCCCAAAGACAAUGACGGCGGCCUGUGGUUCCCCCGGUACACUGAGCUUUUCAUCGAGCACGUGUCGGAUAAGCGCCCGGGACACGGUCCUCUCCUCUCACGAGGAAAUUUUAUCAAGGUUGACCUCGGAUCAGGUAGGAAUACGCGCUGAACUUAA
rnacentral:misc_RNA from 1 species